CCCUUAGAUGUCCGGGGCCGCACGCGUGCUACACUGCUGGAUUCAACGAGUUUAUUUUCCUUGGCCGGAAGGUCUGGGUAAUCUUUGAACAUCCAGCGUGAUGGGGCUAGAUUAUUGCAAUUAUUAAUCUUAAACGAGGAAUUCCUAGUAUAGGCAAGUCAUCAGCUUGCCUAGAUUACGUCCCUGCCCUUUGUACACACCGCCCGUCGCUCCUACCGAUGAAUGAUCCGGUGAAAUCUCCGGAGGGUGGCGCGGGGGAGGUUCGCCUCAUCCUGCAUUCGCCCAAAGUUGCUUAAACCUUAUCAUUUAGAGGAAGGAGAANUCGUAACA
rnacentral:rRNA from 1 species